rnacentral:tRNA from 1 species
CAAAGUAAAGCUUAUAGUCAAGCAUUUCAUUUACAUUGAAGGGAAAUUCGUGCGAUUCGAAUUAUUUUGA